UACGUAGGGUGCGAGCGUUGUCCGGAAUUAUUGGGCGUAAAGGGCUCGUAGGCGGUCUGUUGCGUCGGUAGUGAAAACUCAGGGCUUAACCCUGAGCCUGCUUCCGAUACGGGCAGACUAGAGGUAUGCAGGGGAGAACGGAAUUCCUGGUGUAGCGGUGAAGUGCGCAGAUAUCAGGAGGAACACCGGUGGCGAAGGCGGUUCUCUGGGCCUUACCUGACGCUGAGGAGCGAAAGCGUGGGGAGCAAACAGG
rnacentral:rRNA from 1 species